AAGNUAAGAGAGUCUGUUCGACUCUUAAUAAUUUACAUGAUUUGAGUUCAAACCGGCGCAAGCCAGGUUGGUUUCUAUCUUCUUUAAUAAAAUUUUAGUACGAAAGGACCAAAUUUUAAGUUAUUUACU
rnacentral:rRNA from 1 species